UCGCUUUGGCAGCACAUAUACUAAAAUUGGAACGGUACAGAGAAGAUUAGCAUGGCCCCUGCGCAAGGAUGACACACAAAUUCGUGAAGUGUUCCAUAAUUUU
rnacentral:snRNA from 1 species